AGCAAGUUGGUGAAAUCCAGAAAACCUUUGAGAAAGGCUACAAGGAGCUGGCAAGAUAGAUCAGGAGAUUUCAAGUGCUCCCAAGUCUGGGAAUUCAUUCUUAGAUGAUGACAUUUCUGACUUGCAAGGCCACCAUCUACCUCUUCAGUGUCUAACAAAGACAU